rnacentral:rRNA from 1 species
AUUGAACGCUGGCGGCAGGCCUAACACAUGCAAGUCGAGCGGAGCGGCGGACGGGUGAGUAAUGCCUAGGAAUGUGACUGGUAGUGGGGGAUAACGUCCGGAAACGGGCGCUAAUACCGCAUACUAUCAGACGAGCAUAGGUCGGAUUAGCUAGUGGGGGGGGUAAAGGCCAACAAAGGCGACGAUCCGUAACUGGUCUGAGAGGAUGAUCAGUCACACUGGAACUGAGACAUGGUCCAGACUCCUACGGGAGGCAGCAGUGGGGAAUAUUGGACAAUGGGCGAAAGCCUGAUCCAGCCAUGCCGCGUGUGUGAAGAAGGGCUUCGGGUUGUAAAGCACUUUAAGUUGGGAGGCGUUACCAACAGAAUAAGCACCGGCUAACUUCGUGCCAGCCGCCGCGGUAAUUC